rnacentral:tRNA from 1 species
GGAGAGAUGGCAGAGCGGACGAAUGCGCCGGUCUCGAAAACCGGUAUGGGGGCAACUCCAUCGUGGGUUCGAAUCCCACUCUCUCCGCCA